rnacentral:rRNA from 1 species
GAUGAACGCUGGCGGCGUGCCUAACACAUGCAAGUCGAACGGAAAGGCCCUGCUUUUGUGCGGUUCUCGAGUGGCGAACGGGUGAGUAACACGUGAGUAACCUGUCCCUGACUUUGGGAUAACUUCAGGAAACAGGGGCUAUUACCGGAUAGGAGCUCUUGCUGCAUGGUGGGGGUUGGUAAGUUUCGGCGGUUGGAGAUGGACUCGCGGCUUACCAGCUUGAUAGUGGGGUAGUUGCAUACCAAGGCUUUGAAGGCUAGCCGACCUGAGCGGGUAGACAGCCACCUUACGCCUGCGAUACGGAGCAGAAUCGAACGUGAGGCAACGGUGGAGAGUCUUACACAGCGACGCGGAGCCUGAUACGACAGCGCCCCGUGCGGAAAGACGGCCUACGGGUUGUGAACCAAUUUCGACUGAGACGAGGCGUGAGUGACGGUAACGGGUAAAGAAGCACCGGCUAACUCCGUG